rnacentral:rRNA from 1 species
UACGUAGGAGACGAGCGUUGUCCGGAAUUACUGGGCGUAAAGCGCGUGUAGGCGGAUGAGCAAGUCUGCUGUGAAAGCUCCUGGCUUAACCGGGAGUGGUCGGUGGAAACUGCUCGUCUGGAGGACGGUAGAGGUAGGUAGAAUUCCCGGUGUAGUGGUGAAAUGCGUAGAGAUCGGGAGGAAUACCUGUGGCGAAGGCGGCCUACUGGGCCGGACCUGACGCUGAGGCACGAAAGCGUGGGGAGCAAACAGG